UACGGAGGGAGCUAGCGUUGUUCGGAAUUACUGGGCGUAAAGCGCACGUAGGCGGAUCGGAAAGUUGGGGGUGAAAUCCCGGGGCUCAACCCCGGAACUGCCUUCAAAACUAUCGGUCUGGAGUUCGAGAGAGGUGAGUGGAAUUCCGAGUGUAGAGGUGAAAUUCGUAGAUAUUCGGAGGAACACCAGUGGCGAAGGCGGCUCACUGGCUCGAUACUGACGCUGAGGUGCGAAAGCGUGGGGAGCAAACAGG
rnacentral:rRNA from 1 species